UACGUAGGGACCAAGCGUUGUUCGGAUUUACUGGGCGUAAAGGGCGCGUAGGCGGCGUGUUAAGUCACUUGUGAAAUCUCUAGCUUAACUUAGAACGGUCAAGUGAUACUGACGUGCUAGAGUGCAGAAGGGGCAACCGGAAUUCUUGGUGUAGCGGUGAAAUGCGUAGAUAUCAAGAGGAACACCUGAGGUGAAGACGGGUUGCUGGGCUGACACUGACGCUGAGGCGCGAAAGCUAGGGUAGCAAACGGG
rnacentral:rRNA from 1 species